rnacentral:rRNA from 13 species
GGCUCAGAUUGAACGCUGGCGGCAGGCCUAACACAUGCAAGUCGAGCGGUAGAGAGAAGCUUGCUUCUCUUGAGAGCGGCGGACGGGUGAGUAAUGCCUAGGAAUCUGCCUGGUAGUGGGGGAUAACGUUCGGAAACGGACGCUAAUACCGCAUACGUCCUACGGGAGAAAGCAGGGGACCUUCGGGCCUUGCGCUAUCAGAUGAGCCUAGGUCGGAUUAGCUAGUUGGUGAGGUAAUGGCUCACCAAGGCGACGAUCCGUAACUGGUCUGAGAGGAUGAUCAGUCACACUGGAACUGAGACACGGUCC